CUUGCCUUCGGUAAGGCAGUGCCGGGCAGUGGGGCACGCCGCCUUAGUGCCCCUUUACUUGGGGUGAACCCGGAGGGCUGCGUCAUUGCGCCGGUUGGUGCUUCUGAGGGAUGUUGUGGGGAGAGGGAACGUAUUUGUUACACAGGCCUCGUGUGUGAGAGGAGAGCGGUGACCCUUCAGGGCAUACCCGCGGUAGGGGUUUUGUAAAUGCAGAUGGUACCGCAGCUUUACUGGAAAAUAGUAAGUAGGGCAGGGAAACUGAACUUUAAUAAACUCGGUGAACAGGAGUGAGGUUUCUCUGAAGGUUACUUUGCAGUUCUUGUACACAAAUCAGGACUUGUCCUGGGUCUCUUUCCAUUGUCAGUAUUGCCAAAGAUGUCAUCCGUAUGCCUCAAAAUGAGACUUUUUUUUUUUUUUAAAUCUGUGCAAGAAUGCAGAUUUAAAAUGUAUAUCAAAUAAUAAGAUUGAACUGUAGAAAUGGAAACAUACAAGCUCAGGUAGGACAACAGCUAGGCUUUUUAAACAGCCAGGCUUUUUAAACAGCCAGGCUUUAUCACCACUGCUAGUGUAUCAGCCUUGAAUGAUGGCUGAUUUUCACUGGUUAGUCAGCAGUUCCUGCAAAGCUGUCUUCUUUAGCAGAAAAUUCACAACUUCAGGAGGUGAGCAUAUUGACUGAGUAAUAAGCAACUGGGUCACAAAUUUCUGUGUCAGAAGUUUAAAGUUAAAACCUAAAGUUAUCUUUAACUGUAAUAAUUCAGGAAGGAUUUAAUGAAAAAUCUUGAACAAAACUCUUACUGUAAUUACCCACAUUCUUGAUGCAGGCGUUAAUAACCAUAACAUACUGUUCCUAAUUCAUUGUAGAGGAACAAAACUGUUCAACCAGGGAGAGGCAAUGAUUUAAACAUCACUAUGGAACAUCAGACAGUAACAGGCAGGUUUCAUGCUGACCAAUGCAAUUCACAAAGGUGCAAGCAGUUUGCCGAGGCUUAAAGAGCAAAGAAGAGCCAGGACUAAAGAGUGCUGAAAAGGAAAAAUAAAUCUCCCUUCUGGUAUCAGCUAUGUUCACCUAAC